AUGGCAGAUGGCAUCUCCCAGAGUGAGGGAUAUAAAAGAGAGGGCUGAACUUUGGGGACACACGUAUUGUGGGUCAAAAUGCCUUCCCCAAUUCCAACUCAUUAGGUUUUACGGAACUAUGAGAACCAUAUCCCUUUUCUCCUUGUCAUGGUUACAGUCACCCUGUAUAUGGCAAGUGGAAGAGACAAUGGAAUGGAGGACAUUUAUUUGUCUGUGAUGGGUUUCUGAUCAAGAAUCAGAAGAAGCAUCAAGAAUCUAGUUUGGGUGGACUCCGACCAGCUCCUCUGUCAGCAUUUUUUGACGCAGUUCAGAGCAAAUAAUACCCAAAUCUUAUGGCUUACGAAAACUGGUGAAACUGAAAUAAGGCUUGAUGACAAUGCAAUGCAAUUUGGACACAGUUUCUGAGACGCCAAUUCUAGACGGCCUUUAUAGACUGCAAUUAUAAUCCAAGCGGAAUAGGACAGAAGAAACCUUUAUACCUCAUUAGAACCUGGGAGAUGAUAAGAAAUUGAGGAAUUACAGCCUCUCAUGGAAUAUAAGGAGGUUUCUCCAUGGGGAAGACAGCAUCCACUUUUUAAAGCCUUUGGCCUCAAAGGGACAUAAAGUUUUUAAGGAGAAACUGCAUUUUUGUCAAACCCAGGUUUGUUAUUUGGGGCACAUGACCCAAAUGGGCUUCAUGGUAUUGUGAAUUUCCAACCCAAAAUCAAAUACUGGCUAUUGCUGAAAGUGGGUUGUCUGGCUAUUGUUGAAACUGGAUUCCAAAAUUUUCUCUCAUGGCUAGGUCUUUAUAUGCCUUACUAAGAACAUCAAAUCUGACUCUAUUACUUGGGAAGAUUAGGAUAACCUAGCUAUUAAUACCUUAAAGAAUAGCUUGAAAAAUCUUUCUGUCACUGGACUCCCUAAUUAUCAAAUUCCCUUUUUUGCUUUUCAUAUAUGAGAAGAAAGGAUGUACUUUUGGACUACUUACCCAAAAUCAUGGGGAUCACUAUUGCCCCAUAGACUACCACAGUCAGCAGCUAGACCCUGUGACAUGGGGAUAUCUCCUUUCCUCAGAACCAUUCCUGCUAUUGUCCUCUAAGUUAGGGCCAUUGAAGAAAUAGUGGUGAUAUCCCUCGUAGCCAUUUUUGUAACCCAUUCAGUUAAAGCCCUCCAGAAUUCUCAUCAUACUCAAUACCAUUUGGCCAGUAAUUUAAACUCCUAUGCAAUCCUCUCACAGUUCUUUCUCACUGUAAUAACUUCAACACUGCCACACAUCUUUUCUGUUCAGAAUAUAAUACUCUUGAUAACUGUUGGCCAGGACACAUGGUCUUUAGACCCCUGGAGAUGAUUCAUGGGAAACUCCUCUAACCAAUGCUGAGUUUUCAUAGUUUACUGAUGGUUCUUAUUUAAAGGGAAAAAAAA
rnacentral:lncRNA from 1 species